CAAGAUCACCUGUGCCCUUCAGUCAUAAGAUGCAGGGGCAUUUUAGAGGCAUCUAUUUCUCCAUUUCUUAUUUGUUUUUUUUUUUUUUUUCAGAAUCUUAGGUAGUUCAGCCUGACCUCAAAUCACUAUCUAUCCGAGGACAACUUGAGACGUCUGAUCCUCCCUCCCUCCCAAGGUGACCUAUUACAGGAAUGUGCCACCAUGACAGAUUUAUGCUGUGCUGGGGAAAGAGGCUCAGAACUUCAUGCAUGGGCUGGAGAGAGAGUUCAGAGAUUAAGAGCGAAUACUGUUCUUGUAGAGAACUCCAGUUUGGUUCCUGAAACCCACAUCAGGAAGCUCACAGCCACCUGUGAGUCCAACUCCAUGGGAUCCAACAGCCUCUUCUGGACUCUGCCAGUACCCUACACAUGUGGCAUAUACACAGAGGCCUGAGUGCAAACUGAAGGGCAGUGGGAGUGAAUUCUCUACGGGGAUGCUACCAGUGUGUGGAAGAGAAGUCAGACAUGACCACAAAAUUCAACCUCCAAAAUUUUGUGCUUCAUCUGCAAAAUGAGAAUAAUGCUGUGUGCCCUUGAGAGGCCUGGCUUUCUACCAUCUGAACUCAGGCUCCUCCCCCUGAACAUCUCUGAAACCUGUUCUCCCUGGGCUGAGAUCAUAGCUCCCCUACAGUGCUCAGAGUGGGGGUGGGGAGGAAAAAUGUUAUCCACCCAACAUCCGAAGUUAUCUUCUCCCAAAUUUCAAAGGAAGAGCUAUGCUCCAGUUGCAUGAUGGUCAGUGGAACCGUAGGGGGUAUGGCUUGUCUUCCUGAGGAAUGAGGGCACUGUCUGACGAUACUUUUGUUUUAUCGUAAGUUGGAGCAAGGGAAGUUAUUGGCCCUUGACAAGUAGCAAUCAGGAACACUGAACCCUAGAGUACACCAGUCAGCCCUCACAGCAAAUAUUCCAUCUAUCAGUUGCAAGGUAGAAACACUCACAGAAUAGAACAGCUUCAGCCUUGAUCCCUCUCUGCCUCUACCUUUUGUGUGAUGUUAGAUAGGGCACUUCAUUACUCUGGACCACAUUUAGUGUCCUGAGUCGUAGGAUAAGAUGGUUUGACUUGAUGGUCUAAAUGGCCUGUCAUUCUCGAAGUCUUUGCGUACGGUGUUGAGUCUCCCAAGUCAAAGCAAGCAUCCCCAUCUCCGUUCCCUCAACUAUAAAAUAGGACUGAAUAUCCUUACUUCAUUGCUCCUACUAUGGUAUGAGAGGAAAAGUUAACUAACAAUUAUAAAAUUGUCUUACACAUAGUAGUUCAUGCCUGUAAUCCCUGCAUCUAGG
rnacentral:lncRNA from 1 species